ACCCACAGUGCAUCGCGUGCUGCUGUCUGCUGCAGGAAGGAGUGACUGUGUUGAACACAAACCAGCUAGCUUCGCUGAUAUCGGUUAAUAUUUGUCUCUACUAUGCGUCUGCAGUGCGCGAAAUAAGGACGAGAGGGACCGAGAGCAGCGGGGAAGGAGAGUCCAGCGGCUGUCAGCGCGUCGCGAUGCCUCUCUUCACGUCCAACCCGUUCGACCAGGAUGUUGAGAAAGCCACCAGUGAGAUGAACACGGCUGAGGACUGGGGUCUCAUCCUGGACAUCUGUGAUAAGAUUGGACAGUCCCGCACUGGGCCCAAAGAAUGUCUUCGCUCCAUCAUGAGGAGAGUCAACCACAAAGAUCCUCACGUAGCCAUGCAGGCACUGACACUGCUGGGAGCCUGCGUCUCAAACUGUGGGAAGAUUUUCCAUUUGGAGGUUUGCUCCAGGGAGUUUGCCAGUGAAGUUAGUAACGUCUUGAACAAGGGCCACCCUAAAGUGUGUGAGAAGCUGAAGGCUCUGAUGGUGGAGUGGGCCGAGGACUUCCGGAACGACCCACAGCUCAGCCUCAUCUCAGCCAUGAUCAAGAACCUGCGAGAGCAGGGCGUCACGUUUCCUGCCGUGGGCUCCCAGGCUGCAGAGCAGGCCAAAGCCAGCCCGGCCCUCGUGGCUAAAGAUCCAUCCACCUCCACCAACAAGAAAGAAGAAGAAGACCUGGCCAAAGCCAUCGAGCUGUCCCUGAAGGAGCACCGGCAGCAGCCUCAGCCGGGCCUCUCUGGUCUCUAUCCCAACACCUCCAGCCUGCUGUCGUCCCACAAAGCCGACGGCAGGAAGGUCCGAGCCAUCUACGACUUUGAGGCUGCUGAGGACAAUGAGCUGACGUUCAAAUCCGGAGAAAUCAUCACCAUCCUGGAUGAUAGUGACCCCAACUGGUGGAAAGGAGAGACCUACCAGGGAGUGGGACUGUUCCCCUCUAACUUCGUCACUGCUGACCUGACUGCAGAGCCUGAGAUGAUGAAGACAGAGAAGAAGACGGUCCAGUUCAGUGAGGACAUUCAGGUGGAGACCAUCGAGCCCGAGCAGGAGCCGGUGUAUAUCGACGAGGACAAAAUGGACCAACUUCUGCAGAUGAUCCAAAGUGCAGAUCCAACAGACAACCAGUCAGACAGCGUGGAGUUACUGCAGCUGGAGGGUGCCUGCAAUCAGAUGGGACCCCUCAUUGACCAGAAGCUGGAGGACAUAGACAGGAAGCACUCCGAGCUGUCUGAGCUCAACGUGAAGGUGAUGGAAGCGCUGUCCCUCUACGCCAAGCUGAUGAAUGAAGACCCGGUGUAUGCCAUGUAUGCCAAGCUGCAGAACCAGCAGUACUACCUGCAGCAGCCUGCCAGCCCAGCACCACAGGGUUACUCCGGGCAGCCCGAGCCCCCCUCGUACCCCAUGAGUGGAGCUGCGGUCCAGACCUACACGGUUCCUGUAGAGCAGCUUCCUGCUGGUCCUGCUGGUCCUGCUGGUCCUGUUCAGCCGCCUCCCAGUGACGUCCACAUGUUCAUCGGCCAGCCGCCAGUCUACACAGCAGCUGCAGGCAGCAUGGCCCCAUCAGACAUUCAGUCCUACCAGAGCCCCGCCGGGGGCCCCGCCCCCUGCCCCGCCCCCUGCCCCGCCCCUGCAGGCAUGAGCCAGACGCCACACUACAGCUCACCAACGGGCGCCAGUAUAGCUCCACCCUCAGAGAGCCCACAGGCCCCCUACUCAGAGAAAGCCCUGCUAUAGGACACACACACACACACACACACACACACACACACACACACACACACACACACACACACACACACACACCAGAUUUAAUCAAAUGGUUCUGAUUUGCUUCCUGUGUUUGUUCGCUAUUGAACAGCAGUGGAAGAGGUGUUGCUACACUGCUACUGUCACCGUCCAUCACGACCACCACCGGAAGAUCAGCCUUCAGGUCGGAUCAUGCAGACACAGGCCUGACAUAACUGAUACACGUCAGUUUAAAUGGGCAUUACCUUUCUACUAUGUGCUCCACUUUCCUCUGACUAGACGUUGUAGAGUAAGUGAAGCGUGACUUCGUCAAACCCAGAUUUGUGGUAGAAUCUGCCCUCAGCUCUGAACCUACACUUGCAUACAGUGAAGGUUUGCAGAACAUCUCAGCAGUCCCAGACAGGUAGGCUGGUCAGCAGACCCAUCAUUAGUGUCAGAGCAGGAAGGAACAAAUUCACAUCAAUAAUUAAAAAAAGCUAUAGUCACAUUAAGCUAUAUUCAAAUACAACUUGAAAUUUAGGGUGCAGCUUGUUGAAGUUCUCUCCAGUUCCUGGUCUGGACCUGGUAGUCUGCACUUGUUCGUCUGUGAUCUGUUGAUGUUUUUUUUUUUUUUUAUUUGAGUCUGCAUGCUGUCCCCUGAACAGUCGCUGUCUGAUUAAUUUACCAAGCUGGGAUGUAGACGUGACACAGCAGAUCCUGGGUCUGCUGCAAAAAGCCAAAGCUAUGGUGAGGAAUUACGUUUUCCCUCACAAAACAAAUUCUUCAGCCCUCUUCCUGCUCUUCAGUACAGGAUAGAACAUCUGCAGAAUGAUAGAACUUCUGAAGUUGCUUGUUAGAGAAGACUCUGCUGAGGAAGUCCAAACGGCUCUUUGCUUUCCUGCAGAUUGGCUGUCCAGUCCAGUCCAGUCCAGUCCAGUCCAGUCCAGUCCAGUCCAGUCUAGUUAUGUCCAAUCUGUCAUCAUAGUUCCCCUUGAUGCUGGACUCGGUUUGUUGUCCACCACCAUGUCUUCAGACUGGGUGGUGUUGAGGUGCAGGUGGUUGGUCUGAGUCGUGGAUCCGGCUCCUGUUCUCCCCAUACAGCCCACACCACAGUGUCAUCUGGAAACUGCUGCAAAGUUCAGAAUGAACAGAACUGGAAGAAGCUCUUUCCCCUGCUGCAGACCACAGGUCCAGACCUGCAGCAGACCUGCAGACCUACAGACCACAGGUCCAGACCUGCAGCAGACCUGCAGACCACAGGUCCAGACCUGCAGCAGACCUGCAGACCUGCAGCAGACCUGCAGACCACAGUGUCAGGAGCAGGCGCUGGGGAAUCUUCCCGGAACAUGUCCAGAGGUGUCAGACCUGUUUAAAAGCAACACUGUUCAUGUGAACCAUGGUGAUGAGAAUGCUCCGAAUAUUUGAGAGAUGUCUGAACAGAACGAGCCUCAUCAGUCCUGUAAUACCAGUGUGGACCACAGGGUGGCGCAGCGAGUGACUCCUCCACUAAGCCUGUUCUGAAGCUGCAUGGGGUUUGAUAAAACUACUGUCCCUCUUUUCUUUUUCUGGUAUUUUAAAAUUGGAGCUUUGGGCCAUUUCAUUUGACUGUUUACUAUUUGAUCAAGUGUGAAAUGGACACACACAUGGCUUAGUAUGAACACACACCUUCUUCACACACUAACAGAUACAUGCACAGACAGACGUGAUGUCCACUGACAGUCAACUCUGUAUUUUACAUUAAAAAAAACUACAUUUAGUGAUGCUGAAGGAAUGACUCUACUACUACAGUGUUUAACAAGUGGACUUUAUACGUAUGGAAAACCGAAGCACCUGGUUUUUUUGAGGAGCUGAAACGAACAAGACAAGAGGAACGACGCCGUCUUCCCUUCCUGAAGUGAGUGAGUUGUUGCUGUUUCCGGCAGGAGCCGUGGCAGCACACCACACUACACCAGCUCCUCAGUGUUGAACAGUGACCAUUCCUCUUCUUUUGCAGUGAAUUUUAAUUUAUGGAUUGAAUGCUGUUGUAAUAUUUUGACCAGAUGAGCAGUGGAAGUUGUACAUAUUCUCAGACUGGAGCCGAGGAUGUGGUAAUUCACCAGUUUUAGUUGUAUAUUUAAAGUGUUUGAACCGUGAACCGUUGUCUGUUUGAUACAUGCUUAUUGUACUGUAGUCACAUGGUAAUGUCUCCCCGGUCCUCCCCCUCAGAGAGCGCUCAGUCCUCUUUUUAGCAGGAAGCCUGCGAAGGCCUCAUCUGAAUCACCUAUUCCACUUUUCUCUACAGAGAACAUCCAACCUGCUUCACACGCUGCUGAAAGUCUAGAGAAUUAACACUUUAUUAAAUAAAAAAUUCACACAAAUCUCACCUGUUCCAUGAUCGUCCCUCUCCUGCCAUGUGAAAGCUGAGUGGCAAGCGCACACACACACACACACACACACACACACACACGCACGCACACACGCAGAGUCAGAUGAAGGAACUUUGUUCUGCACUGCCGUGAGGAUUUUCCAGGUUUCCUAUAAACUGGACGAACACUGGAGUGCCGGUGGAGGCGUGAGCGGUUUCUGAGGCUCCAGCAUGUGGAGAUCUCUGGGAGGGAACCGUUUCCUGUGGACCGACGCUGCAGUUUGAGCCUCGGCGUGUCUGGACUCAUCCACUCCGUCAGCUCACAGGAGGGAAACUCCAGACGCAGCAGCAGUGUGUGGUGUCAGGAUGAAGGACCUGGACGGCGGGACAGGAAGCCAGUGUAUCAGCCUCUCAUCGGGUCGUGUUCCCAGUGGGACUUUUAGUUCGUUUGUACAGGAUGACAUGCUGCCUGUUCUUAGGUUUCAGAAAUAGACAUGAUUGCAACAGUUCUGUCUUAAACUUGUACCCUGCUGUUUGUAUGUAUUCUUUUAACCAUACUUAUGAUGAAUUGGUAUUCACAAUAAAACCACGCCAAAUGUACAGAGGAA